GGAAGCUGAUGGGGUCUGGUGGCCUCCUCGGUCUUCAAAACCGAUGAGAGCCGAGAAGGCUUUGGCAGGUUCGAUUCCUGUCUCUUCCGCCA
rnacentral:tRNA from 1 species